GAUGAACGCUGGCGGCGUGCUUAACACAUGCCAGUCGAACGGAAAGGCCCUGCUUUUGUGCGGUGCUCGAGUGGCGAACGGGUGAGUAACACGUGAGUAAACUGCACUUGACUUUGGGAUAAAUUCAGGAAACUGCGGCUAUUAUCGCAUAGGAGAUCCUGCUCCGUGGUGGGGGUUGGAAAGUUUCGGCGGUGGGGGAUAGACUCGCGGGUUAUCAGCUUGUUGGGGGGGUAGUGGCGUACAAAGGCUUUGACGGGUAGCCGGCCUGAGAGGUUGACCGGCCACAAUGGUACUGAGAGACGGCCCAGUAGCCUACGUGAGGCAGCAGGGGGGAGUAUGACGCAGUGGGGGGAAGCCUGAGGCAGCAACGCCGCGUUCGGGAUGACGGCCUUCGGGUGAUAAACCGCUUUCGCCGGUGACGAAGCGUGAGUGACGGUAAUGGGUAAAGAAGCACCGGCUAACUACGUG
rnacentral:rRNA from 1 species